rnacentral:rRNA from 1 species
GUGGGGAAUUUUGGUCAAUGGGCGCAAGCCUGAUCCAGCAAUGCCGCGUGCAGGAAGAAGGCCUUCGGGUUGUAAACUGCUUUUGUACGGAACGAAAAGGCUCUGGUUAAUACCUGGGGCUCAUGACGGUACCGUAAGAAUAAGCACCGGCUAACUACGUGCCAGCAGCCGCGGUAAUACGUAGGGUGCAAGCGUUAAUCGGAAUUACUGGGCGUAAAGCGUGCGCAGGCGGUUUUGUAAGACAGACGUGAAAUCCCCGGGCUCAACCUGGGAAUUGCGCUUGUGACUGCAGCGCUGGAGUGCGGCAGAGGGGGAUGGAAUUCCGCGUGUAGCAGUGAAAUGCGUAGAUAUGCGGAGGAACACCGAUGGCGAAGGCAAUCCCCUGGGCCUGCACUGACGCUCAUGCACGAAAGCGUGGGGAGCAAACAGGAUUAGAUACCCGGGUAGUCC